rnacentral:rRNA from 1 species
AUUGAACGCUGGCGGCAGGCCUAACACAUGCAAGUCGAGCGGAUGAAGGGAGCUUGCUCCUGGAUUCCGCGGCGGACGGGUGAGUAAUGCCUAGGAAUCUGCCUGGUAGUGGGGGAUAACGUCCGGAAACGGGCGCUAAUACCGCCUACGUCCUGCUGGAGCAAGUGGGGGAUCUUCGGACCUCACGCUCUCAGAUGAGCCUAGGUGGGAUUAGCUAGUUGGUGGGGUAAGGGCCUACCAAGGCGACGAUCCGUAACUGGACUGAGAGGAGGAUCAGUCACACUGGAACUGAGACACGGACCAGACGCCUACGGGAGGCAGCAGUGGGGAACAUUGGACAGUGGGCGAAAGCCUGAUACAGCCAGGCCGCGUGUGUGAAGAAGGUCUUCGGAGUGUAAAGCACUUUAAGUGGGGAGGAAGGGCAGUAAGUUAAUACCUUGCUGUUUUGACGUUACCAACAGAAGAAGCACCGGCUAACUUCGUG